AAAAUCCGCCUGAUAAGCCAAAGACGUGAUGUGGAGCGAAAUAAAAGUAGCGAAGUAUGUGAGCCAUGUGCCGAGAAAAGCCGCUAUCGUUUUAUAUGUGCCCGUACCGUAAACCGACACAGGUGGAUGAGGAGAGAAUCCUAAGGCCGACGGAAGAAGCAUAGUUAAGGAACUCGGCAAAAUGACCCCGUAACUUCGGGAGAAGGGGUGCCCACUUCAGGGUGGGCCGCAGAGAAUAGGCUCAAGCAACUGUUUAGCAAAAACACAGGUCUAUGCGAAACCGUAAGGUGAAGUAUAUGGGCUGACGCCUGCCCGGUGCUGGAAGGUUAAGAGGAGAGGUUAGUCGCAAGAUGAAGCUUUGGAUUUAAGCCCCAGUAAACGGCGGCCGUAACUAUAACGGUCCUAAGGUAGCGAAAUUCCUUGUCGGGUAAGUUCCGACCCGCACGAAAGGCGUAAUGAUUUGAGCACUGUCUCGACAAUGCAUCCGGUGAAAUUGAAGUACCAGUGAAGAUGCUGGUUACCCGCGCCAGGACGGAAAGACCCCAUGGAGCUUUACUCCAGUUUGGUACUGGGAUUCGGUACUGCAUGUACAGGAUAGGUGGGAGACUGAGAAAUUGGAACGCCAGUUUCAAUGGAGUCACUGUUGGGAUACCACCCCUGCAGUAUUGGGUUUCUAACCAGCCGCUGUGAUCCAGCGGUGGGACAAUGCCAGGCGGGGAGUUUGACUGGGGCGGUCGCCUCCGAAAGGGUAUCGGAGGCGCUCAAAGGUUCCCUCAGAAUGGUCGGAAACCAUUUUAAGAGUGCAAAGGCAGAAGGGAGCUUGACUGCGACACCGACGGGUGGAGCAGGUACGAAAGUAGGACUUAGUGAUCCGGUGGCAUAAAGUGGGAUUGCCAUCGCUCAACGGAUAAAAGCUACCCUGGGAUAACAGGCUUAUCACUCCCAAGAGUUCACAUCGACGGAGUGGUUUGGCACCUCGAUGUCGGCUCAUCGCAUCCUGGGGCUGUAGCAGGUCCCAAGGGUUGGGCUGUUCGCCCAUUAAAGCGGUACGCGAGCUGGGUUCAGAACGUCGUGAGACAGUUCGGUCCCUAUCCGGCGCGGGCGGAGGAUAUUUGAGAGGAGCUGUCCUUAGUACGAGAGGACCGGGAUGGACGGACCACUGGUGUAUCCGCUGUCGACCAACGGCAUGGCAGAGUAGCCAAGUCCGGAAGGGAUAAACGCUGAAGGCAUCUAAGCGUGAAGCCCCCCUCAAGAUGAGAUAUCCCUCACAUAAGUGAGUAAGAUCCCUUGAAGAGUACAAGGUAGAUAGGGCAGAGGUGGAGGCAUGGUAACAUGUGGAGCUGACUGUUACUAAUCGAUCGAGGGCUUGACC
rnacentral:rRNA from 1 species